UUGAACGCUGGCGGCAGGCCUAACACAUGCAAGUCGAACGGUAACAGGAAACAGCUUGCUGUUUCGCUGACGAGUGGCGGACGGGUGAGUAAUGUCUGGUAAACUGCCUGAUGGAGGGGGAUAACUACUGGAAACGGUAGCUAAUACCGCAUAACGUCGCAAGACCAAAGAGGGGGACCUUCGGGCCUCUUGCCAUCGGAUGUGCCCAGAUGGGAUUAGCUAGUAGGUGGGGUAACGGCUCACCUAGGCGACGAUCCCUAGCUGGUCUGAGAGGAUGACCAGCCACACUGGAACUGAGACACGGUCCAGACUCCUACGGGAGGCAGCAGUGGGGAAUAUUGCACAAUGGGCGCAAGCCUGAUGCAGCCAUGCCGCGUGUAUGAAGAAGGCCUUCGGGUUGUAAAGUACUUUCAGCGGGGAGGAAGGGAGUAAAGUUAAUACCUUUACUCAUUGACGUUACCCGCAGAAGAAGCACCGGCUAACUCCGUG
rnacentral:rRNA from 1 species